UAACACCACAGUUAGAAGACAUAUGUUAUUUUUUACAGAGGGAAACCUAGAUCUUUCCAUUUCCUUAUUUAAAUGAUGUCAUUACUCAUAUUAAUUUAUGUGUCAUCCGAGCUUUGUUCAUAUUUAUUUCAGUCAAUUUAAUUAGAAAUAUGGUCAUGAAAAAUACAUAUUAGUUGGUAUACGUCCUAAAAUCUUGGACUCGUGUCCUGUGCAGAGAAGUGUCUCUGGUCAGACUUGGUCUUCCACCUAAACAGCCCAUCACCAGGUCCUCUCCCAGCCCCUUAACAUUUCUCUGUGCAUCUACUUCUUCCUCAAUGCCUCUACUUCGUUCAGCACUUCAGUGUAUUUCGCUUGGAUUACUGAAAUGUCUUCUCAAAUUCUUUGUUCACGUGCAAGCUGGAAUGAUCUUCACAACAGAGAAAUUACAUCAUGCCCCUUCCCACUGCCAUGAGGAGCCCAGCUCCAUUAGGACACAGCUGUGCCACUUUGUUGGGCCUCUCCCUCACUGAACUCUCCUUACUGGACUGUAACCCAGGACUGACUGAACUGAAACACACUGGGGAUGCACAAAUGUAUUUUUAUUCAUCAUGACAGAUGCUCUUUGAAACUUGUGAGAACAGAAGUUCAGUUAAUGUGUUUCCCAUUUGUUCUUAUAACAGACAGAGGCCAGAAGACGCAGUGAGAAGGUCCUCACUUUUCAUCUCAUGUCUUAACCCAGUAGAUGACCAGAAAAUUAAGGGUCUGAAUUUAUUCCCUCAAUAAAUAUUAAGCACGUAGCAGGUGCCCAAAACUGGACUAGGCACAAGGGGUAAAACUAUGAAUACGAACAGCCCUUCUCCUCAGGAAAUUCACCACGAUAACAGCAGUUAUGAUGCAAACCUGUCAUGAUGGCAGAGUAGCAUGGAGCGCUAUGGGGAGACGGAUGAGGGGCACCUGGUACUAACAGGAGGUCAGGAAAACCAUCCAACUGCGGUGCGCACGGUUGAAUUGUGCAGAAGGGGAGGCAUGGCAGCUGACUUGUCUCACAACUGGUAUAUAACAGAAGUAAGAGUCCAGCCCAGGACCUCCAACCCAAAUCUUGUUCUACUUCACUACACUACUUUGGUCUUCUCAACUGCAAAAAUGGAGAUAUUAUUACUCCUUAAAGCUUCUGUGAAGGUUAAAUAAAACAUAUGAAGCAUGCAAGCCCCAUGCCUGCUCACGGCACACCUCACCUGUGCCCAGCAGCACUGGCUCUCCUGCCUGCCCUGGACACUCACAGGACUCCAUGUCCCAGAUCCCUUGCAAGUAGGCAGUCUUGUGACUAUUUCUGGCCAAUAUAUCAAAGCAGCUAAGAGCCAAUGUCCACUUCUGAUGGUAGGACCAGAGUGACCAUAGGUUCUAGAUGGUGGAGCUGCACGUGAUGAAGCCUCUGCCAGCCAGAGUCUCUGGGCGACUAUUAGAACAAGCACCCUGCCACCACACGAUGGGGAUACAUUUGCGUUUUGUUAAACUA